UACGUAGGGGGCUAGCGUUGUCCGGAAUCAUUGGGCGUAAAGAGCGUGUAGGCGGCCCGGUAAGUCCGCUGUGAAAGUCGGGGGCUCAACCCUCGAAUGCCGGUGGAUACUGUCGGGCUAGAGUGCGGAAGAGGCGAGUGGAAUUCCUGGUGUAGCGGUGAAAUGCGCAGAUAUCAGGAGGAACACCAAUUGCGAAGGCAGCUCGCUGGGACGUAACUGACGCUGAGGCGCGACAGCGUGGGGAGCAAACAGG
rnacentral:rRNA from 1 species